UACGUAGGUGGCAAGCGUUAUCCGGAUUUACUGGGUGUAAAGGGCGUGUAGGCGGGACUGCAAGUCAGAUGUGAAACCCAUGGGCUCAACCCAUGGCCUGCAUUUGAAACUGUAGUUCUUGAGUGAUGGAGAGGCAGGCGGAAUUCCGUGUGUAGCGGUGAAAUGCGUAGAUAUUAGGAAGAACACCAGUGGCGAAGGCGGAUGACUGGACGACAACUGACGGUGAGGCGCGAAAGCGUGGGGAGCAAACAGG
rnacentral:rRNA from 1 species